rnacentral:rRNA from 1 species
CCCUUAGAUGUUCUGGGCCGCACGCGCGCUACACUGAUGAAUUCAACGAGCUCCUAACCUAGGCCGAAGGGUCCGGGUAAUCUUUGAAAUUUCAUCGUGAUGGGGAUAGAUUAUUGCAAUUAUUAAUCUUCAACGAGGAAUUCCUAGUAAGCGCGAGUCAUCAGCUCGCGUUGAUUACGUCCCUGCCCUUUGUACACACCGCCCGUCGCUCCUACCGAUCGAAUGGUCCGGUGAAAUGUUCGGACCGCGACAAGGCGGACGGUUCGCUGUCAGCUUUGCUGCGGGAAGUUCAUUAAACCUUAUCAUUUAGAGGAAGGAGAAGUCGUAACA